CACUGACAGUUUCUAGCAGGACAAAUGGGAAAGACCUAAGGAAAAAAUACUUUGAGAUUCAGUAUCCUUCUGCCUUCGGUUCUCCUGUUGGUGCCUCUCAGUCAUACCCAAUCAGCAGUUAGAGAGCAAGGAAACUCUCAUAUUGAUAUAAUGAACACAGUUCAACAUUCUAGACCACAGAGCUUGGUGGAAAGGUUAAGGGGUGAACCUGGAGGAGAAAAAAAGGUGACAAUGAGACUUUCAAGUGGAAAUCUACUCUAGAGAGCUGGAAAUAUAAAACUAGAGCUUCAGGUCAGAGGUAUAAUAUAAAUGUUAUUGACAUAGAAGUAAUAGCAAUAGAACUAAAGUAACAAAAGCAUGUUUUCAUAAAAUGAUAGGAAGAGAGAAACACAUGCAAGGUAUACAUUAAAUAAAAAUUUAAAAAGGAAGAGAAAAACAGAGAAAGAAGAACUGAGUCAUGUCUUCAUACUUUUUCAUACUCUUCUUAAUUGGAAUCUCCUAAUCUUUUCAAGACAAAGGCCAUACAUAUUUAAAUAUUAAAGUUUUUUUUUUCACUAAAUACUAUGUAUUUAGUGAAAAAGUUAAGAUGUCACAGCAAGGUCAGACAACUACUCUUAUUUGGAAUCUCCUAAUCUUUUCAAGACCCA
rnacentral:lncRNA from 1 species